AAACUGCAGUUGUAAUCCAGGAUUCACGGGCCUGUAGGGGCUCAGACUUCAAAUUGAACCGCGCCUCGGCGGCAGCCACAGGUGUAAUACACGAGGCCCAGGUACCAGAAGGUGUCCAGCAGGGCCUUGGCGGCGCCCUAGCAGCUGAGGUCCAGCCGCUGCGCGCCCAGGUUCAUCUCAUUAGUGGACGCCGCGGGCCCGCGAGUUCGGAGCAGCGCGUGUAUCUGUGGGUCUUUGGGGCUGGCCUCGCUAGCCUACCAGCUUCCUUUCGGUGAUGCUCUUUGCUACCGCCAGGCUCCUGACCCCAGCUUGGACAGCAGGCCGCCGAGCGCCCCUGACGCCCGUUACCGAGAUGGCUGCGCAGAAGGAGUGGCUGUGGGGCUGUGAUCUCUCCUAGAACCUCAGAGGCAUGAAGCUAGAAUAUCUUCCCCUUCAAGGAGAAUAAGCCAAGGGUAUAUGAGACAAGGACCUGGGGAGUUGGCCUCUUUGGUUCAUUCUUUGUACUGUUUAUCUAUGGUUGUUGCGGCCUUUGUUGAUGACAUUCAGCAUUGACUUCUUGGGUAAGGUAUUCAGUAGUUAAGAUUCAAUGACUCCAGUGAAAGGUAUGUUUCCAUCGUGAUGUUCUUCUUCUGGACAAUAAGUGAAAAGAGCAUGUGAGUACCUCUCUCACUCCCAGCAAAUAAUUGUUGUGUCACCUCCACAUGUUUCUUCACGAUUCGAGGCUUUGAUUUCCCCUGCAAGACAAAAUGCAAUGAAGUGAUACAGAAAAAAAGAAAUUCUAUGCUGUCAUCACACUAGACCAUGAUGUUGAUUUAUGGAUGGUCUGCUUUCUUAUAUGCACUUAAUAUUUUUGUACAAGCAAACCUGAAAAGUGUCAAAAUCCCCUUUAACAGAUUAACAGGCUGAGAUGGGUUAAAGUGAGCAAGCCGGGAAGUGGUGGAGCUGGGAUCCACACCCUGGUCUGUCUGAGUCCAGAUGUAAUCAUCUUGCAUUCACUAUGGCAUGUUUCCCUUAUGUUAAGGGUUGCUGACAUAGACAGUGCAUGUCAUUCCUUUUGGUAUGGUCUUCCUCCUUUCUAGCUUUUUUCUGCCUGGAAGAUCCAGGCACCCAAGAGAAUGGAGCUUCCAUGUAAAUUUGCAGAAUCCCUAGGAUGAAAGCGGAGAGGAUCUACCCUGAAACCAACAAGUCUAGGAUGCACAUCUCUGCCUUUUUUUCAGAAUUAGGAAGGGGCAGGCAGAUGGGCAAUUGACAGGAAUAGUAGAAGCAUCCUCGGGGAAGUUGGCUACUUUACUUAGUGAGAAAGCAAUGGAAAGUGACAUUUGUAACUGAGUUUUAAGUGAAGUACAGUCCUAAGAGAGGAGCUCUGAAAAACAGCUGUUACCUGAGAUUGGGAAUGUUAAAGACCUUCUCAGAGCCUGACUGUACUCACAGCUGGACCUAGCUAUCAGAAGAGGGACUGCAACAUACCUGAGAAACUUUCAGAAUACUUAACGGAAGCAGAGUCAGGGGAAGUGAUUUUGAUAGUAGUCCAUGAGAAAAAAAUACGGUGUUUUAAAAUGCAAAUGAACUAAAAUUUAAAUCCUGCUCUCUCAGUAGCUAUGCAGCCUUAGGCGAGUUAAUAUCUUUGACCUUAGUAUUUCUCAGGUGUAAAGAGGGAUAAUUACCUACUCAGAACUUCACCUCUCCCAAGAAAGCUUUCCUGACCAUGUGCUGGCCCUUCCUUUACAUUGGGAUUAAAGUACCCCCCCCCGUUUUUCCAGGCUUUCUUGACUUUAAUUCUGUCAUAGCUCUAAUUAAGAACCUCUGUAAUGAUCUGUCUGCAAGCUUGUGAGAAAUUUGAGGACUGGGAACCAGCCUGAAACAUGUCUGUUCCCCUCUGAGUCAACACAGUGCCUGGGAUCUGGUGUCCAGUAGGGAUUUAAAGCAUAUUGAUUGAAUGAGAAAUGAUGACAGGAUCUACAUGGAUCACAAAGGAUAGUUGUUAUUUUACCUGUUAACUAUUUAAUAGCGAAAUUAAAUGAAAUAUGAAUUAACCUAGGACCAGGGAAGGUGGGGUAAGUUGUGUCUUUCACAUCAACCUUCAUAUGUUCCCCAAUUUUUUCUUCCUUCAUGUACCUAGGACACUCUUGUUCAAACACAAAGGUGGUUUUAUUUUGGGUCUAUACUAGCUAGUUCCCUAGAAAGGUCUUAAAUACAAAAUGAAUGGAAUACAAAAUAACCUCCCUCAUUGUUUUUUUUCCCGGACAAAUGACAGGAUGCAUACAGAACUGCUACUUUUGUGAUGUUGCAAGUAAUGGUAUAGAUGUGCACAAAUCAUGGAUGUGGUCCCAGUGAUCCAUGGAAAUGUGAAGUCCAGAAGCUCCUCGUCUUAGAGGUUGUUCUCCUGCUCCUUUGGUCAAGUGCUGGAAAAUUCAACACUAAUUUCUGCAGAGGUAGAGGAAUGGAGUUUGUUUCAAGUCCUUGUGAAGGGAUAGAAUGAUUGGUACUUACAGCUG
rnacentral:lncRNA from 1 species